CCUACGGGUGGCAGCAGUGAGGAAUAUUGGUCAAUGGGCGUAAGCCUGAACCAGCCAAGUCGCGUGAGGGAUGAAGGUCCUAUGGAUCGUAAACCUCUUUUAUAAGGGAAUAAAGUGUGGGAGGUGUCCUAUUUUGUAUGUACCUUAUGAAUAAGGAUCGGCUAACUCCGUGCCAGCAGCCGCGUUAAUACGGAGGAUCCGGGAGUUUGCCGGAUUUUUUGGGUUUAAAGGGUGCGUUGGCGGGCUUUUAAGUCAUCGGUGAAAGUCUGGGGUCUAACCAUAGAAUUGCCGUUGAAACUGGGUGGCUUGAGUAUGUUUGAGGCAGGCGGAAUGCGUGGUGUAGCGGUGAAAUGCUUAGAUAUCACGCAGAACCCCGAUUGCGAAGGCAGCCUGCCAAGCCAUGACUGACGCUGAUGCACGAAAGCGUGGGGAUCAAACAGGAUUAGAUACCCCUGUAGUC
rnacentral:rRNA from 1 species